rnacentral:rRNA from 1 species
UCAGAGGGCAAGUCUGGUGCCAGCAGCCGCGGUAAUUCCAGCUCUGAUAGCGUAUAUUAAAGUUGUUGCAGUUAAAAAAGCUCGUAGUUGGAUUUUAGAGUGUAUUAAUAUGGUCUCUUGUGAUAAACUUGUUGUACUGUAUCAAUUACUCUUUCCUACUGGUUACUCGACUCUGUUCUUUAUUGCAUGGAGUAGUGUCGCAAGGCAUCGCUUAGUAUUUUAUUGCUUUUAGAUGUAGUAAUUGGGUAAAACUGGUUAUGAAACCUAAGGGAUCACAGUAAGGUAUUAAGUGGGGUUCCAGUUCAUUUACUUUGAGUAAAUUAGAGUGUUCAAAGCAGCCUGUAUGGGCAUUGAAUAGAUUAGCAUGGGAUAAUAGAAUAGGAUUCUUGUCUAUUUAUUGGUUUA